CCUACGGGUGGCUGCAGUGGGGAAUAUUGCACAAUGGGGGGAACCCUGAUGCAGCGACGCCGCGUGAGUGAAGAAGUAUUUCGGUAUGUCAAGCUCUAUCAGCAGGGGAGAAAUAGCGACCUUUGGGUCGCCAGACGGUACCUGAUUAAGCAGCGCCGGCUAAAUACGUGCCAGCAGCCGCGGUAAUACGUAGGGGGCAAGCGUUAUCCGGAUUUACUGGGUGUAAAGGGAGCGUAGACGGCAGCGCAAGUCUGAAGUGAAAUGCCGGGGCUUAACCCCGGAACUGCCUUGGAAACUGUGCAGCUAGAGUGCAGGAGAGGUAAGUGGAAUGCCUAGUGUAGCGGUGAAAUGCGUAGAUAUUAGGAGGAACACCAGUGGCGAAGGCGGCUUACUGGACUGGAACUGACGUUGAGGCUCGAAAGCGUGGGGAGCAAACAGGAUUAGAUACCCGGGUAGUC
rnacentral:rRNA from 1 species